GACGAACCGUGCGAACGUUGUUCGGAAUCACUGGGCUUAAAGGGCGCGUAGGCGGCCGGGUUGGUCGUGGGUGAAAUCCCCCAGCUUGACUGGGGAACUGCCUACGAUACUGCCUGGCUCGAGGGAGGAAGGGGCGGUCGGAACUGUCGGUGGAGCGGUGAAAUGCGUUGAUAUCGACAGGAACGCCGGUGGCGAAAGCGGACCGCUGGCCCUCUUCUGACGCUGAGGCGCGAAAGCCAGGGGAGCGAACGGG
rnacentral:rRNA from 1 species